GUGAAGAGGGAAACAACCCAGACCGCCAGCUAAGGUCCCAAAGUCAUGGUUAAGUGGGAAACGAUGUGGGAAGGCCCAGACAGCCAGGAUGUUGGCUUAGAAGCAGCCAUCAUUUAAAGAAAGCGUAAUAGCUCACUGGUCGAGUCGGCCUGCGCGGAAGAUGUAACGGGGCUAAACCAUGCACCGAAGCUGCGGCAGCGACGCUGAUGCGUUGUUGGGUAGGGGAGCGUUCUGUAAGCCUGCGAAGGUGUGCUGUGAGGCAUGCUGGAGGUAUCAGAAGUGCGAAUGCUGACAUAAGUAACGAUAAAGCGGGUGAAAAGCCCGCUCGCCGGAAGACCAAGGGUUCCUGUCCAACGUUAAUCGGGGCAGGGUGAGUCGACCCCUAAGGCGAGGCCGAAAGGCGUAGUCGAUGGGAAACAGGUUAAUAUUCCUGUACUUGGUGUUACUGCGAAGGGGGGACGGAGAAGGCUAUGUUGGCCGGGCGACGGUUGUCCCGGUUUAAGCGUGUAGGCUGGUUUUCCAGGCAAAUCCGGAAAAUCAAGGCUGAGGCGUGAUGACGAGGCACUACGGUGCUGAAGCAACAAAUGCCCUGCUUCCAGGAAAAGCCUCUAAGCAUCAGGUAACAUCAAAUCGUACCCCAAACCGACACAGGUGGUCAGGUAGAGAAUACCAAGGCGCUUGAGAGAACUCGGGUGAAGGAACUAGGCAAAAUGGUGCCGUAACUUCGGGAGAAGGCACGCUGAUAUGUAGGUGAAGUCCCUCGCGGAUGGAGCUGAAAUCAGUCGAAGAUACCAGCUGGCUGCAACUGUUUAUUAAAAACACAGCACUGUGCAAACACGAAAGUGGACGUAUACGGUGUGACGCCUGCCCGGUGC
rnacentral:rRNA from 1 species